GUGGUACUUACUUUGGCAACACAUACACUAAAAAUGGAAUGAUACAAAGAAGAUUAGCAUGGCUUCUGUGCAAGCAUGAUUCCUAUAUGUGUGAAGCGUUCCAUAUUUUU